AGAGGGUGAAUGAAGAUUUUGACGUUUCUCGAAUAAGCUUUCAACUUCAGAAUCAAAGAAUAUUAUAUAUUGAACCAAAACACACAUAUCACACACACAACAACUAAAAAUUUAAAAAAAAAAUCCCUUGUUCUACAUUAGCUUAAUUAUCAAUAUCAAAUUAAAUAUGGCUUUUAUAUCUGCCUCCACCUGCUUCUUGAUCAUUUACAUGGUCGUUAGUGAAACUCUCUGUGUGUCAGUUUCAUAUGAUAUAAAUACUUGUCCAUCAGGUUACCCAGAGAAGGGAGUGGCAGUGGACAAACAAGACAUAGACAAGAUGCAAUUUCCAGUGAACUUGGAGUUCUUGGAAGCUGAAUAUUUCUCAUGGGCUACUUAUGGAUAUGGUCUUGAUGUAGUAGCACCAAAAUUGGCUAUGGGUGGGCCUCCUCCUAUUGGUGGCCGAAAAGCAAAUCUUGAUCCACUUACGAAGAAUAUUAUUAUGGAGUUUGCUAAUCAAGAAGUUGGUCAUCUAAGGGCACUUAACUCGACAGUUGGUGUUUUUCCAAGACCUUUGUUGGAUCUAAGUGCUAAAAAUUUUGGAAAGAUCUUUGACGAAGCAUUUGGAUACAAAUUGAUACCUCCAUUUGAUCCAUAUAGAGACAGCUUGAGCUACAUGUUAUCCUGCUAUGUAAUUCCAUAUGUUGGAUUAGUUGGUUAUGUUGGUACCAAUCCCAAUAUCAAUGGCUACGAAACCAAAAGGCUUUUGGCAGGAUUAUUGGGUGUUGAAUCAGGACAAGACGCAGUUAUCAGGAUGUACCUCUAUGAGAGAGCGGCACAAUUUGUUUUUCCUUACAAACACACAGUAGCUGACUUCGCGUCUCGUAUAUCAGAACUAAGAAAUAAAUUAGCAAAAUGUGGGAACAAAGACGAAGGCCUAUUUGUUCCGCCACAACUUGGAGCAGAAAAUCGGACAAUAAGUAACGUAUUAUCUGAAGAUUUUAAUUCAAUUUCUUACAAAAGAACUCCUGCUGAGAUUCUGAGGAUCGUGUACGGCUCUGGUGAUGAACAUGUGCCUGGUGGAUUUUAUCCUAAUGGUGCUAAUGGAAGGAUUGCUAGGGAAUUUCUGAAACAGCCAUAUUGAGAAUAAUUAAAAAAUGAAGAGGGUACUUUGAAAUAAAAUACCUUAUCUAUUACUAGUAGGUAAAUAAACAUGCAUGAUACUUUAUCUAUUACUAGUAUAUACUAGUCAUAAGUAAAUAAAGCUAAAUAAGUGCUUACAUGCAGGGGUUUGUAGCAGCUCUACAUAAAAGCAGAAUUUCAGAAUAAAAAGUUACUAUUAAAUAUUAUUCUACUA